UGGUCUCAAUCUCCUGACUUUGUGAUCCACCCCCCUCAGCCUCCCAAAGUGCUGGGAUUACAGUGCUGUUGGGGAUUUCCAGGUGGACGACAAGACCAAAGCCUUACUCAAGUACACUGGGGAGGUGACUUGGAUACCUCCGGCCAUCUUUAAGAGCUCCUGCAAAAUCGACGUGACCUACUUCCCGUUUGAUUACCAAAACUGUACCAUGAAGUUCGGUUCCUGGUCCUACGAUAAGGCGAAAAUUGAUCUGGUCCUGAUCGGCUCUUCCAUGAACCUCAAGGACUAUUGGGAGAGCGGCGAGUGGGCCAUCAUCAAAGCCCCAGGCUACAAACACGACAUCAAGUACAACUGCUGCGAGGAGAUCUACCCCGACAUCACAUACUCGCUAUACAUCCGGCGCCUGCCCUUGUUCUAUACCAUCAACCUCAUCAUCCCCUGCCUGCUCAUCUCCUUCCUCACUGUGCUCGUCUUCUACCUGCCCUCUGACUGCGGCGAGAAGGUGACCCUGUGCAUUUCUGUCCUCCUCUCCCUGACAGUGUUUCUCCUGGU
rnacentral:sRNA from 1 species